GUUGUCGCCAUGGAUAAUAUGAUACGAAACUCUUCUCUUUUGCUUGUUGAGAGAGCCCAUGAACUCAUUUUUGAUGUUGGCAACAAAGCCAGAUCAUGGGCUACUGAACAGCUGACAGUCAAAAUGACGAGCUACCACUAAGAAUCCCGCAGAAAUAAAUGAUUAAAUGUGGCACCACUGCCAAAUGUUAUAAAAAAUGCGGACUUUGACAGCUCUCUCACGAAUGAAAGAGUUUCGUAUCAUGUUAUCUUUGGUUGUCGCAC